AUGGCAUCUCGUUUUCCAGCAUUUGCAUUGGUUAAAUGGAUAGGCGAUCCAGAGCCCGAGUGUUGGAAGGUGAUAUAUACGAAAAAUAUAUGUACCGAGGAUAUACCGGAGGGAGUAAUCGAGGGUUCAACCUACAAUGCUGUGUGGGAUCCCAAGCAAGAAAUGGCCCGCGCCAAAGUUUUAAAACUUCAUGAUAGUAAAGCUUUCUUGAAUAGUAUAAGGAAGCACGAGUGCAUAGACCCGUUUGAAGAACAACGGAAGGCGACUUUAGAUGGUGGGAAGCGACGCCCAAAACCAAAAACUUUGGGAGGCGAUUUUGUUGCUGAAGAUAUUGAAAUAGAUGUGGACCGAGAAACGGCAACAACCCGAGAAACGGCAACAAUCGGAGGCAAGAAUGUCAAUGAGGAAGAGAAGAAAAAAAACAAAAAAAGGACCAGUGACAAAGCUUCUUCGGGACAUCUCGAUUGUUGCUAUCAACGAGAGAUCAACACAAAGAGCGGGGUGCGAGCUGAAUCAGUCAGAACAAAUAGUCCAGUUAGUUGAAUUAGUUGCGGGCAGUGGUGUCUAAUUCCUUUCGAGGACAGCACUUGCAUUGUGCAAAACCGCACACACCAAGUCCUCGCUGGCUACACGCCUUUUAAAGGCGUUUUUUUCAGAAGAAGAAAGGCGCGAGGGAAAAAUCUCUGAGCAGGGGGAGGUGGGAAAUUUGCUUAACCAGCAAAUUAUAACCACUAUUAAAGCAUAUGCGUCGAGGCAGAACCUCCCAGACAGGUGUAAAAAAGGGCAUCACAAGUGCCAUGAACCUAAGUAUAAAAAACUUGAGGAGAGCAGCACGGAAGUCAGCUUGUGAAGAUGAUCUGCCAAGUCUGCCUAGUCUUCCUGAUGAUGAUGAUGAUGACUACGAUGCAGAUGAGUCUUUGCUUGAUUGAAAACUUUGGCAUAGUUUUCACCAUUUUUUAAAAUUUAUAUUUGAUAAUAAACAAUUCGAACUAGUAAUCAAAAAAGUCAUUUCUUGUGAAUCGAGAUUAUGUGCCGAUCUAGGAAUCAAUUAAACAUUUCCAGUGAUUUCCAGGUUAGUAACUUUACCUUUGCAGCUUAGCAGUUCCAGGUAAUCUUAUUGAUCUUUAAGGAACAAUUUAGUUUUACUUUGCGCAUAAAGUGUGUUAUACAACGUUCUUUGGGUUUAAAUUUUGCGUGUGACAUGUAGAGGCAUAGAUACCAUUUUGCAGGGGCGUUUUAUUGAUAUGCUUACAAACAAGGAAAGACUAGCUGCUUGGCUCAGUCGCUUAUUCCAAGUUAGCCCUAUAGCUAUGGGACACAUUUAGAUAAUGUAUUGUACGUAAAACUGGCACGAUGCCAUUUUAAGGUAGCCUUGAGCUAUGUUUGUGGCAUGUCCAAGGUACAUUUUAGGUAUGUAAUGGGUAUGUAAAUUUCCAUUUAACGGUAUCAUUUGUGAAGGUACAUUUUGGGUAUGUAAUGGCUAUGUAAAUUCUAUACCAUGCCCUUUUAAGGUAGCCUUGAGCUAUGUUUGUGGCAUGUACAAGGUAUAUUUUAGCUAUGUAAUGGGUAUAAUAAUUUCCAUUAAACGGUAGCAUUUGUGGUA